rnacentral:rRNA from 1 species
UUACCAUGCAGUCGAACGGCAGCACGGGAGCAAUCCUGGUGGCGAGUGGCGAACGGGUGAGUAAUACAUCGGAACGUGUCCUGGAGUGGGGGAUAGCCCGGCGAAAGCCGGAUUAAUACCGCAUACGCUCUGAGGAGGAAAGGGGGGGAUCUUAGGACCUCUCGCUCAAGGGGCGGCCGAUGGCAGAUUAGCUAGUUGGUGGGGUAAAGGCCUACCAAGGCGACGAUCUGUAGCUGGUCUGAGAGGACGACCAGCCACACUGGGACUGAGACACGGCCCAGACUCCUACGGGAGGCAGCAGUGGGGAAUUUUGGACAAUGGGCGCAAGCCUGAUCCAGCAAUGCCGCGUGUGUGAAGAAGGCCUUCGGGUUGUAAAGCACUUUUGUCCGGAAAGAAAACACGCCUGUUAAUACCGGGUGUGGAUGACGGUACCGGAAGAAUAAGCACCGGCUAACUACGUGCCAGCAGCCGCGGUAAUACGUAGGGUGCAAGCGUUAAUCGGAAUUACUGGGCGUAAAGCGUGCGCAGGCGGUUCGUUAAGACAGAUGUGAAAUCCCCGGGCUUAACCUGGGAACUGCAUUUGUGACUGGCGGACUCGAGUAUGGCAGAGGGGGGUAGAAUUCCACGUGUAGCAGUGAAAUGCGUAGAGAUGUGGAGGAAUACCGAUGGCGAAGGCAGCCCCCUGGGCCAAUACUGACGCUCAUGCACGAAAGCGUGGGGAGCAAACAGGAUUAGAUACCCUGGUAGUCCACGCCCUAAACGAUGUCAACUGGUUGUCGGGUCUUCAUUGACUUGGUAACGAAGCUAACGCGUGAAGUUGACCGCCUGGGGAGUACGGUCGCAAGAUUAAACUCAGAG